GAUUGGUUGCAGGUCUCGGGGGGGGGGGGCAGCUCCGCCCCUCUCCCGGAUGGCUGUAUUAACGCAGCGCGCAGCGGCUCGGUCUUUCGGUCCCGGCCUUGGUGGUGAGUGUCCUCGUGGGAGGGUGUCAGGAUGUCCCCGUGUCCCCUCGAGCUUUGCCCGCCCCGAGCUCAGCUGCUCCCGGCGGCCAGAACGGAGGGGUAGAGCAGUUCUCAGCGGCCCGCGGGGCGGGCGGCAGUGUCCAGCCCGGGGCUGCGCGAGACACAAAGUCCUCUGUGCCGUCCGACCCGGGCACCCUGACCACCGCCCUUUCCCUCUGCAGGCCGAUCCACCCGAGCCGGUCCCCACUGCCCAGCCGUGCUGCUGCCUCGGACACAAGCGCAGGUUGAAAACUACAAGAAACCCGUGACUGAAUGGCUCCAAGGUGAAGUACUCUUGCAUGUAGUGACCAGGUUUGCCUGUAUUCCACUUUAGGAUUAGUAUCGAAGCUGAAAUAGGUGAAGUGAGGGCCAUGUGAGUUUCCUUGAAUGGCCUUGUAACUGAUUACCCUGAAGGUAGUUUGCUAAAGAUUUUAAUCAAUGUACUAGGAUCCUGCCCCACCCCUUCUUCAUGUCCCACUGCCCUAGAAUCAGAUCUGCAUGGCUAUGACAUGCUCGCCGUUUUAAAGAUGCAAAGAUUUCAUGCUAGAUCAUUAGAAUGUAUCUGGACUUCGUUAGGACAAGUUCUUUGCUAGUAACCAGUCACGUGCUAGCAAUUGAGGUGUGUUAACCUGUAUAUUGUUGCCUAUGAGUAAUUUUCCAUAAUCUUUAAUAAAGGCUUCCUGUGUCAAUUCUAU
rnacentral:lncRNA from 1 species